CCACAUGACAGGAGGCUUCAUAUUUGCAUUUUUAAAGCUUGGAAUUGAUAAGUGUGAAGGAAGCAUGAGAUGUUUGACGGAAAUAGAACGUCCUGAAAGUACUUUCUCGUGUCCAGUCUGCGCAGCGCAUAAUGUCUAUUAGAGAGGCGCCCGCCGUUAAGGCUUUGGAGGCUGCCGCCCCUCUGACCGAAUGUGCGCCGAAGUGAGGUUCAACGCCUGCUAACGAUAGUAGCCAGCGGACCCAUCUAGCCAGUGUAGUCGUGGACACCGGUCCGUGAGGCCUUACAUAGGAAAUCAAAAGUUGACCCGUCGAACUGGUUCGAAGGGGAGCUGUGGUUUCCGUAUAUCUCAUUAGUGUCCUGACAACGCACAGUUUGGGAUCUGAGCCAAAGUACGGGUACGAUAUCGAGGUGGAAUCCGAUUUAGUCCGUCUUGAUAUGGAAAAAAUAACUCCUUCUGGAGUGAUGGAGAACCCGUCCACGUUGAAUGCUCUAACGUCUGACACUCGUCGGAACGAGACGAGACAUAGUAAGAGGGUCAGUUUGGCUGAAAGUUGUUUCAGUGACAGAUAGGGGUUAUCUGGCCAUGCCCUAAGAAAAUCCAGCACCACGUCUACCUGCCAGAGGUUAGAAUAUUUGGGUGCUGGUGGUCUCGUUAGCUUAGCGCCCCGCAGAAGUCGGCAUAUCAGUGGGUCCUGACCCACUGGUCUGCCUUGUAUUGGGACGUGUGCCGCCGAUAUGGCUGAUCUGAUCACGUUGAGGGACCGAUACGAUCGUCCCAGCGAGAACAGAUGAGCUAGGUAGUUAAGGAUCAGCGGGAUAGGGGCAUUAAAGGGAUCGGAGUCCCUUUCCACACACCAAUCACUCCCAUGCGGAUAUAUAGCAUUUCCUGGUGCCUGGAGCCCAUGAGUCCCAUAGGAGGUCCUUAGUCGAUUGUGAUAGGCCGUGGACUGACCAGGAGCCCCUGAAAUCGUCCAAGUCACUAGUUCUAGUUGCCCUUCCAGGAUGAGGGGAUGUGGUUCUCCUCGAGGUCCCGUCAGAAGUCGUGGGAAGGCAGGGAGUAGUAAGGGAUGUCCGUGGGACAUCUCCAGGAGGUCUGGGAACCACGGUUGACUCUGCCAAAGGGGGGUUAUCAGUAGAAGCGAUAGUUUGCGAGUGCAUGUGUAUCGCAGUACCCGUGGUAUCAUGGAGAAUGGUCGGAAGGCGUAAGCCCCUAGAAUGGGCCAGUCCUGCAGGAAUGCGUCUGCCGCUUCGCUCUUCGGAUCUGGGAGCCAACUGUAGUAUCUCGGCAGUUGGUGGUUGGUCCUGGAGGCGAACAAGUCUACUGUUAGCGGGUAUGUCCCCCGUCGUAAUUCUUGGAAUAUCUCCCUGUUGAGUUUCCAAUCGCUGGUGUCUCGCCAGUGGCGUGAGAACCAAUCCGCCGUCAGGUUGGAGAUUCCUGGUAGGUAUUCCGCCUGCAGCGUGAUGUUCCGUCGCAGGCAAAAGCUGUAGAUGUCCUUCGUGGCUUCCGUCAAUGCUCGAGAUCUCGCUCCGCCUAGGCGGUUGAUGUACUGUACCGCCGAAAUGUUGUCCAUGCGGAGCAGAAUACAGCAAUUCGAUUUGUCCUUGGCCAGGCUGCAGAUGGCGAAGGAUCCUGCAAUCAGUUCCAGGCAGUUGAUGUGUAGGUUGGUCUCCUCCUCUUGCCAUGGGGCCUCCCGUGGAGGCGUCCGUGCAGUGAGCUCCCCAUCCCCAUAAGCUGGCGUCCGAUUCCACGAUGAAGUCCGGGGAAGAGCCGAAGAUAGCCUUUCCAUUCCAGGCUUGCAUGUGUAGUAACCACCAUCGAAGUUCCGUCCUCACUUCCGUCGACAGUGGGAUCCAUUGGUCGUACGAGUGCCCGGUGCGGAGGUAUGCCGCCUUCAGCCGUUGCAUGGCCCUGUAGUGGAGCGGGCCUGGGAAUAUCGCUUGUAUGGAGGAGGAAAGGAGUCCCACAAUCCGAGCGAGCAUCCUGAGUGGUAUUGUGUCCAUCCUCAGAACCCGUCUGAUUUCUUUCCUUAUCGAGGCUAUCUUUGUCGAGGGGAGGCGUAGUACGCAGUCCUUCAAUUCGAUAUCGAAGCCGAGGAACUGAACCGACUGGGAAGGAGAGAGAGACGAUUUUUGUCUGUUCACUACGAAACCUAAAGAUUCCAGCAAGUGAACGACAAACUUCGUCUGCAAUCGUAGUCUGGAGGCUGAUUCGCAGAAAAUUAGCAAAUCGUCUGUUUUCUUUUUGACCAGGAAGAUGUUGCUUAUAAAGCCUCCCCCUUCUGGUGCGUAUUGUACUGCGCCUUUCCUGAAGGGCGUGUGGAUCUCCUCGUCCACCAAGUGUUCUUGUUCCUUUGACAAGUGAAUCGGAGGAGGGGGGUUGGAUUGUAUGGGUUUUGUGAAGAAGUCUAUGAGGAAGCCUCGUACUGUCUGUAGGACCCAGGCGUCUUUGGUAAUCAGCUCCCAGUUCUGAAAGAAAAGGGACAGGCUGCCUGCUAUAAAGUGUGAAACAUUUUGGAAUGUAGGUGGACUCACCAGUGGAGAAGCGGCCGCGUCCCCGACCUCUGAAUCCUCUAGACCUCCCCGUCCCUCGGAACGAAGCGGGCCUUUGCGUCGAAGAUGGGAAGAAACUCUGGGUCUGCGGGAGUGAUCUGGAACCGGAGGUCCAAAAACGGCUGGUGGCUCGGUUCCGCUGCCGACCAGCCCUUCCAAAAACACCCCUUGUAGUCGGGGUAUGAAAAACUUGCUUGAGUGAGGUUUGGGCCUUUUUCAAAGUGGUGAAAAGGUUUACGUGCUUCUUAAGUUCUGCGAUGAAGGCGUCGCCAAACAGCUGUCCUUGGGCUUUCGGUCCGAAUUCUUUUGCCCCGAGGUCCAGGAGCUUGCUAUCAAUGCGGAUUAGUGCCGAUCUGCGUCUUUCGGUGCACAAUGCGUUGUUUGCGUUGCCCAGAAGGCACACCGAUCUUUGAGCCCAUUCCCGUAUGAUGUGAGGGUCUAGUUGGGAGCCUUGGCUGAGGGCUAGGUCUGCGAAAUAGAGUAUUUUCGCGAUGGGGCCGAGUAGGUCCAGCACCUUAUCCUGUGCCGCCUUCAUGCCUUUUUCCACUCCCUUUCGGGGGUCUCGGCCCGAGCGUGACAUAAAGACCACCACCGUAUUGUCAAACUCAGGGGUAAAUGCCACUUUGUCGGGUAACAGGGGUCUGGGGCAUUCGGCCCGGAGGCGUGCUCGUACCUCCCUUUCCAGUGGCUUGCGCAGCCAGAAGUGAAUGAACUUCAUCAGGUGUUCCGGUAGGCUCCACUCGG